GGCUUUCUGCUAUUCAAGGAGCAGUCAUUUUCUCUGUGGAGAGAUUCCAGGGCUGUACAUGGAGCUCCUUGAAGGGCAGCAGUCAGAGUUCUGGUCCGGAUCCCUGCUGCUACACUGUGCAAUGAAGAGGUUGAAGUCUGAGGCCGUUCUCUGGUUUCAUCCAGCUGUUUAUUCUCGGGAAAUUACGUCACUUGUCUGCGCCUAAAUUUCUUCACAUAUAAAAAGAGUUUGCUUUGCAACAUGAUCAUCAGUGAUCUAUCAACGGACUCAAGCUGGGGCCAGAAAGAGUGGUGAG